GUAGGUGGCAAGCGUUAUCCGGAAUUAUUGGGCGUAAAGCGCGCGCAGGCGGUCUCUUAAGUCUGAUGUGAAAGCCCACGGCUCAACCGUGGAGGGUCAUUGGAAACUGGGAGACUUGAGUGCAGGAGAGAAAAGUGGAAUUCCACGUGUAGCGGUGAAAUGCGUAGAGAUGUGGAGGAACACCAGUGGCGAAGGCGGCUUUUUGGCCUGUAACUGACGCUGAGGCGCGAAAGCGUGGGGGAGCAAACAGGAUUAGAUACCCUGGUAGUCCACGCCGUAAACGAUGAGUGCUAGGUGUUGGGGGGUUCCACCCUCAGUGCUGAAGUUAACACAUUAAGCACUCCGCCUGGGAGUACGACCGCAAGGUUG
rnacentral:rRNA from 1 species